rnacentral:tRNA from 1 species
ACUUGAAUAGUUUAAUUUAAAACAUCAGUUUGUGGAAUUGAGGAUAUUUAUUUGAUUUUAAGUU